CACCGUGACUCCUACGGGAGGCAGCAGUGGGGAAUAUUGCACAAUGGGCGCAAGCCUGAUGCAGCCAUGCCGCGUGUAUGAAGAAGGCCUUCGGGUUGUAAAGUACUUUCAGCAGUGAGGAAGGCGGGUGCGUUAAUAGCGUAUUCGUUUGACGUUAGCUGCAGAAGAAGCACCGGCUAACUCCGUGCCAGCAGCCGCGGUAAUACGGAGGGUGCGAGCGUUAAUCGGAAUUACUGGGCGUAAAAGCGCAUGCAGGUGGUUUGUUAAGUCAGAUGUGAAAAGCCCCGGGGCUCAACCUCGGAAUUGCAUUUGAAACUGGCAGACUAGAGUACUGUAGAGGGGGUAGAAUUUCAGGUGUAGCGGUGAAAUGCGUAGAGAUCUGAAGGAAUACCGGUGGCGAAGGCGGCCCCCUGGACAGAUACUGACACUCAGAUGCGAAAAGCGUGGGGAGCAAACAGGAUUAGAUACCCUGGUAG
rnacentral:rRNA from 1 species